rnacentral:rRNA from 1 species
UACGGGGGGGGCAAGCGUUGUCCGGAAUUACUGGGCGUAAAGAGCUCGUAGGUGGUUUGUCGCGUUGUUCGUGAAAACUCACAGCUUAACUGUGGGCGUGCGGGCGAUACGGGCAGACUGGAGUACUGCAGGGGAGACUGGAAUUCCUGGUGUAGCGGUGGAAUGCGCAGAUAUCAGGAGGAACACCGGUGGCGAAGGCGGGUCUCUGGGCAGUAACUGACGCUAAGGCGCGAAAGCGUGGGGAGCGAACAGG